GCCUGGGUGGCUCAGUCGGUUGGGCAUCUGACUUCGGCUCAGGUCAUGAUCUCACAGUUUGUGAGUUCGAGCCCCAUGUCAGGCU
rnacentral:tRNA from 1 species